rnacentral:rRNA from 1 species
GACGAACGCUGGCGGCGUGCCUAAUACAUGCAAGUCGAACGCACAGUUUAUACCGUAGCUUGCUACACCAUAAACUGUGAGUUGCGAACGGGUGAGUAACGCGUAGGUAACCUGCCUGGUAGCGGGGGAUAACUAUUGGAAACGAUAGCUAAUACCGCAUAAUAUUAAUUAUUGCAUGAUAAUUGAUUGAAAGAUGCAAUUGCAUCACUACCAGAUGGACCUGCGUUGUAUUAGCUAGUAGGUGAGGUAACGGCUCACCUAGGCGACGAUACAUAGCCGACCUGAGAGGGGGAUCGGCCACACUGGGACUGAGACACGGCCCAGACUCCUACGGGAGGCAGCAGUAGGGAAUCUUCGGCAAUGGACGAAAGUCUGACCGAGCAACGCCGCGGGAGUGAAGAAGGUUUUCGGAUCGUAAAGCUCUGUUGUAAGAGAAGAACGGGUGUGAGAGUGGAAAGUUCACACUGUGACGGUAUCUUACCAGAAAGGGACGGCUAACUACGUG